CUACCCCUAUUUUCAAAACAUUAGGAACAAUCGUUACCACGGGCUGUUUACGUACCGACCACUGCUCGGGGACGCGACCUGCCUAUUUAACACGCGAUCGAAUCAUUAUAAAAUAGCUUUUAACAAAAAGCUUUUAUACUAACAACUCUAUAAGCAGGUAACUAGUGUAUUUAACGUGCACUUUAUGCCCCGAUUAAAUAAAUGCUUAUUGACGUAGCCGGCUGCUCAUAUGACAAUAUAACAAUCGUACGGAAAUGUUUCAAUUUCAAUCGAAACCCAUGUUAUAAAAAUCAUCAAACAAUUCUAAACGAAUGUUUAUUGCGAACACAUCAUAAUUCACCAGGUAAAAACCGUUAAAUUAUAAAUACAAACCGAUACAAUUUAAAAAAAAACCGCUGCGAUUUGAUAGAUAACCUUCACCAUAUUAGAGAUCCGUGGCCAACUAUCUAUGUGAUAAUAUAACGUGUCUUAGUAAACUUGAUUUCUUGAACAAUGUUAACUUACUUUUUAAUAAUGUUAUCUAGCUAUUGAACUAUAAGAUCAAAAGAGAUCUUAUUUUUAAUGAUUGCUAAGAUGGGUGGGCGAGCUUACGGCCCAACAGAUGUUAAGUGGUUACCGAACCCCAUAGGCAUCAACAAAAUAAAUACCGCCAGCUACACUGAGACAAGUGUUUUUGAGUCUCAGUUCUAUAGUACAUAGCUUCUAAUAGGUAUAUGUACAUGUUUAUGUCUAUAAGUUCCGGUGACCUCUUAACACCAGGUGGGCCGUGAGCUCGUUCACAUUUGGUAUGUGACACUAAUUGCAUAUUUCAAACAAAGAUUCUUCAAACUUUACUUAAAAAAUCUUACAUAGACCUUGGAAUAAAUUUAUAGCUAGCAUCAUGAAAAGGUAUUUCACUUCGAUCAAUAAUACUACUAGAUUCGCGAUUAGCGCUUCAAAAACGGCCCGAAAAAUAAGACCACAAAUAAAUUUGUGGUCUUAUUUCAAAUUAGUAUGGUCCAAUCAUAGCCAACACUAAGACGUCAAAACGCUGCAAUGCGCGUUCAAAAACUGAGUAAAAAACCACCGUAACACCAAGGUUUUGGAAGGAAUAUCUUUUUUUGAUUUCCUAGUAGCCCCUUGUCGCUGUGCACAAUGGAUAUAUAUUGUCGCGAAAGAAAGAGGAGAAGAAAUACAGAACCCUUAUAAAAAUUCUAGAAUUGUUCAAUGGUGGUGGCAAAUCAAUGCAAAAAAGUAUUAACAAAACUUUAUAUGUAUGUGUAAAUAUUUUAAGCGUAUAUGCUGAAAAGGAUUUGUUUUCUGGGGGAAACGAACACAGCCAUAAAAUAAGCCUAAAUUAAACUGAUUAUAGAAAAAAUCAUUGAUAUAAGAUUACAUUAUAUUUGUAAAAAAGAAACCGCUCAUAUAAAAAUGACUUCUAAAAGACAGCUUUAUAACAAACUGAAUCUGUUUAAAGGUAAUUAAACCUACAUUAUUGUUUUAAUUACUUCUGUAUAAAGAAUACGUGGAAAACAUGUUUCGUGUUUCCUUUCAUAUUUUUUUUUACUUUAUUCAAUUUUAUUUUUUAUCAUUUAUUUGUUGUAAUAGCGGCAAUGUAAAAUAUUAUCUACUACUUUUUUGAAUCGGUCAAAAAUAGUUGCGACCAUACAAAACAAACCUAAAACAAAUAUGUAUAUUCUGCAACUCUAUGUCUUUCAAUACUUACUGUGUUCUGAGCAUUGAAAUGUAAUACCAAGAACUACAUCUAGUUCCACAAUACAAUAAGCACGAAAUUUUAAACAAAUAUUUUUAACCUUAUAAAUUAGGCUUUAAGUAUCAUUUUAGAAUAAAUAUUUUUCUACUGAUGUCUUUUUAUGUUCAAGUGACAUUUUAAAUUUAUUCCAUAAUAUUCUUUUUCUGACGAAAGGACCUAAAUACAUAUAUUUUGCAAUGAUAAUUAAACUUUAUGUUUAAGUAUUAAGGUUUAGAAUAAACUGAAGUCGUUAACAUUAUUAAACUUUUUUCUAAGAAAUGAAGAUGUUUUCGUGUGUGCAAACGUGGCCACUGGAGCGGCUUAUUUUUGUUCCUGAUCUUUAAUCUAGUAGUAUUAUUGAUCGAAGGUAUUUCAUGUAAAAGAGUUCGUCUAAAGUGGUACGUCUAAGGUGGUACGUUUUUUCAUUGUUGAAUCCGGAACCACGAAUCUCGAAUGCCACUCCGAAUGUCGAGAGUCCACUCCGAGCUUCGCUUUUUAAUAACCCGUUUUACCUGCUCCGUCCGAAGGGUUCCAUCAGGAACCGUAACGGAAAUGAGAUUAGAUAAUCGCAAGAGAGAAGUUGUAGUAGUUGAAAUGAGUCGUCGACGGAACACACCAUCGGACGGAAACUAAAAAGAAAACAAAUGUCAUUUUUGGUGUCUUUGGUGUUGAUCUGUAUUCAUUGCGUGAAAUCAACUCUGAAUUAAGUUAAGUCACGCCUUUUUUUCAUAUGCAUAAACACAACCACAAAAAAAAGCAUUAAAUAUGUAACAUAAUGAUUGAAUAUUAUAAGAUACGUGCAUCAGAAGAUUUGUUUGUAGCGGAGGUGUCGGAGGAUAGUCGCGUGACGCAGCCGCCCGCUCGGAGUUGACCAGAGUGUCCUCGGUAAGAUUUGUUAUUUCGGAUUCCUUCUCCUAGGCCCUUGGCGGUAGGCGUCGGUCGCUAGUUCGCUACACGUAAUAUGAACGAUUAAUAUAAAUUUGUAACAUUUAUACGCAAUUUAAACAAAUCGACUAAACAAGUGUUAAUUACUUGCUAAGUUGUUUGUCAAUAAUAAAACCAAUUAAAAUUUUAACUAUUUCACGUCUUGCUAGCAUACAACCUGCUAAACGUGACCACUGGUGAGCACCAGCGAAGAAACCUGAGCUUAAUUGAGUGAAUACGGUUAGUUAGUGGUUCUACUAGCUAGUGACUCUUGACCGGCUGUACUAACCUAAGUCAGAGCUUAGUACCAUUGUCACUGGCGAUUAUUUGCAUAUUCGUAUUUUAAUUAUAACUAGAGGUCCCGCAGUAGUCGAAAUUCGACUAUAAUUAAUUGGAAUUGUAAGUUUUUACACUAUUAUGAUUAUAUUUUAUACUUCUAUAAUCCCAAAUUUCGCCAAGACUACACUAUAAAAAAUAUUAACAAAGACAAACAAUAUUUAAUCUAUUCUCAAUUUGACAACAGACGUCAAGAACAAAAGUUUGACAAUAAAUAGUAUGCAUGCGUGUGUGCGUCAAAUACUUGGUAUGUAGUGUGUGUAAUGUUUUCUUUAUUGAUUUAAUGUAUCUUUUAUGCAUUAUUUAAAAAAAAUAUUAGCAUUGUGCACUUCUUCUCUAUAUUCUCUAUAAGUGUGGAAAAUUUCAUACUCCUUCGUCCGCGCAAUUUUCGUAUAAAGGGAUACAAAGUUUUUGCUUCACGUAUUAAUAUAUAGAUAACAAUUUGUGUCAAUCAAUUAAUAUUAUUCUAAGGCCUUGCAGCCCGCUUGUACCACGAGUGCUUCUCAGGCAGGUUCGAGACUGAUAUUCUACUGAAGUCAUUAAUGCUUAUAUUGAGAAGUGUGGUGCAGGUACAUACGCACGUAAAGCGUCUGUAUGGACACGCGCACGCAUACUUUGUCUACGGCACGAGCCUGCUCGUUAGUCAGCUUUGGUAAAUAGUCUUAAUGUUCUUACGGGCCUCCUCAAACAGUUCACCUAAGUAGGUACAUAAAUUCAUUCAUAAUUGUUGUAUGUAACGGCUAAUUAUAUUUUUGUCGUGAAACAAACAUGUCAUCAUCUCGCUACGUACCAUAAUUCUUAGCUAUCAUGUCAGAUGCUUUAUCUGAUGUAUUGUAUCCUAGCUUGUAUGAUAGCUUUCGUCCUCGUAGACCACACUCUAUAGUGCCUGGGCUGGAGUCCCGUGCUCGGGAGCGCAAUGAAAGCCAGCCAGCCUUUGCUCUUGCCCAGGGCUCAAACUAUUUUCCUACCGAUUCCUUUCUUUUCCUACCGAUUUCUUUGAACCGGUUCGGUGGUAUUGGUUACGUAACAAAGAGACCAUGUUUAUGAUAUGUAUGUAUAUUGUCUGUAUUUAUUACGGUUCCAAUUUGUUCUGUCAACAAACUUAUCAGAUUGCAGUAUAUUUUAUAGUAACAGCGUCCCUCCCUCAGGGUUCUGCUUAUUCUUAUAAUUACCUGCUUGCAUGAGUAAUUAUUAAUGUUUGUUUGAUUGAAAUAUAAUACGCAAUUAAAUAAUCCUUUUAAAGUAAUUCGCUCUGUAUUCCGACAUCAAAUGUAGAACCGACGACUACACAAAGACUCAAUGUUGUGUGUGCCGCGCAUACGAUUGACAAGAUCAUCAAAACAAUAAUUAGUAUUUCCUUCGGUUUUUGCAAAUCCGAAAUACAUUUUAAAAUUAGUUUUACGGUUAUUGUGAGAGCUACAAUGACCGGUAUGCACAUGCAAACAUCUCACCCACACACGCGACCCUGCAGACUCGCCCGGAGAGGCAGUGAGCGCACACUCGGCCGCCCGACCCGCCUCUCUCAUCACUACAGCAUGCAUCGUCGCUGGAAUUUUGAUAGCAUUUUAAUUCCAACAACAUCGUUGUCGUCUCUAAAAGAAACACCAGUCUUGUGUGUGUGACGUACGCAUGUUGAAGCUAAACGUAACAAGUAAUGCUAUACACCUGCCGUGAAUUCAAUAAUUUAUUGUAUUUGUAGUUCUCACACACGGUUGACUAACGGGCACUUGACAAUAAAUAAUUCACAAAACAUUGUAAGACCGGAGAUUGUGGAGCUCGUGCUUUUGAACUGGGCGUGUCUGAUUAGGAUUAAAUGAAGCCUAUCAGAUUUUAGGGCUAUUAUUGCUGUCAUAGCUACUCCAAAACAUGACUUAAUGAAUGGGUAUUCUAAUGAAGAAACUAAACUAAAACUAAAAAAGAAACAUACAUUUUUACUGGUGGUAGGAGCUCUUAUGAGUCCGCGCGGGUAGGUAACCACCACCUUACCUAUUUCUGCCGUGAAGCAGUAAUGCGUUUCGGUUUGAAGGGUGGGGCAGCCGUUGUAACUAUAGUGAGACCUUAGAACUAAUAUCUCAAGGUGGGUGGCGUAUUUACGUGGUAGAUGUCUAUGGGCUCCAGUAACCACUUAACACCAGGUGGGCUGUGAGCUCGUCCGCCCAUCUAAGCAAUUAAAAAAAAAUACUUAAAUCGUUCUUGAAAUUAACGCACCUGCACUUAAAUAUCUAAACGCUUUGAAUAACAAAUAAUACAGAUCACAUUAAUAAUAAUGAGCUCGUAUUAAAAAUCGGUAAGAAGUGAGUGCGCGAUCGUCCGUCCGUCGGAGCAAUGACCGACGAGCAAUGAUUCGCAAACUGUACACAAGCAUUGGCGAUGCCUUCGUCGUUGGCUGAAUUUUGUUCUGUAAAGGUUUCUUUCGAUUCAUGAUGGGUAUCGAUUGGCUCAAAAUAUAUUCGGAUAUUUUAAGGUACCCACGUACUACGUCCCCACUCCUACAACGUUCUACUUGCACGUAUAUAAAGUUUGACUUAGUAUUUUUAGCAUCAAGUACGACACUAUUAACUCAGUUUUAAGUGCGACUUUUUAUAAUAGACAUUUAAAAUAUCACAAAUGUGCAAGUUGAAUAUACGAUUAAUUGAAAAUUCGAACGUGAAGAUCUGAGAUCAAAGUCUCAAUUGCAUUGUCUAUCGGCUGACUCGUCUCACCCUGUGCAUCGAAACGAUUCACUGCCUCACACCAAACAGAGAACGACAAGGAGGCAGUGGUGCCAACGCACUAAAGUCACAAUACCUCCCAUCAUCAAAAUUAUGCAACUUUGUACAUUUUGAGGGUUUAUUUUACACACGAAAUUAUUAUUUUAUCGUAGAAGUCGUAUAUAAUCAAUAACUGUAGACUAAUCAUUAUCUCUCGAUACUUUGAACAUGCUGAACAAAGUUAUAUUCGUUACUCGACGACCCGCAGGUGACGCCGCGGGGCGAAGCUAGUCUAAAAAAAGCCUAAGCUAUUCCUUAAAUCAUCAGCUACCUAUCAGUGAAAGUCUCUUUAGAAUCGGCCCAGCCUUUCCAGAGAUUAGCCGGAACAAACAGACGGAAAGACAGACAGACAAAAAUUGUAAAAAAUGAUAUUUUGGUGUAUGUACCGUGUAUAUGCAUGUAGUAAAAAGUAGAAAUUUCAAUAUUACAAAUAGACACCCCAAUUUUAUUUAUAUGUAUAGAUGAGAAAGAACUACUCGUAAACGCACUCAAAGUUCCAUAUAGUGAAUGAUGCUUGCGAUACGACAUCUAAGACUAAUGUCGGUUGCCUGUGGAUGUUUCUGUGAAGGUGUGCGUCACUUAUUGAUUCAGGUGUGCAGCUUGAGAAUGUGAGUUCCUAAGCUCGAUGAUCAGCCGUAGCGCGGUCGCGCGGGCGUGGCGGCGGACGUACCUAGCGCAACCGACUAAACGACUUCCAAUAAAGUUCGGCAUCUUUGACAAUUGAACGAGUAAUUGCUUCAAUUUAGUCUCGUACUUGCUGAAGUCUGAUGAUGUAACCUCCGCGGAUCUACUGCCAGUUCUUGAGGUCUCACAAGAGUUCAUUUCAGAAUAGUAACUUAAAUUAUCCUUUCUGCUCUGAAGUUAUAUUGAAGUAGGUAAAUUAGAUGUGCCAUUAUUGUCUCCCAAGUGUGGCGUCGUGCAGGGGACUCUGAAGGAUUACUAACACCGAGUCAGUUAAUUUUCCAAUACAAUGCAGUCUUUGACCUGAUUUCUCGAGGAGGUGGGCAGCGCUAUUCACGCUGUGAUGUAAGCUCGAUGUUGUCAAAAUGCAGACUGUUACAGUGGCCAAUCUAUAGAUAUAAUCUAGUUUACAAUACCUACUAUAGCCUUGGUCGCUCUCAAAUAAUUCAUAUCCACAUUACCUUGGUAGUUGAUUCAAUCAAUUAAAGUGUCUGUGAUUUCGAAGUAAAGGCUUACAUUGACUGUCAUUGACUCACUUAGCUAUUUAGACGUGUAGUCACUCCGAGUGCGGCGGUUUGAAACGCUUUGUUUACAUAUUUUGCGCCCGCGACUUCGUUCGUACUCGCGACUCGGUACAGUAUAUUGAGCGUCGUAUUCGGGUAAAGUGAAAAUGACACGUUGGUCAGUUCAGUCACUAAAGUGUAUUCGGAUUAUAAUUAUUAUAAUUAAAAUGCAACAUGCUAUCGACAGCCCGACAAUCCCGAGUUUGACUGCAGUAUCGCUGUAAUAUAAUUAUCGCUUAUACAAUAUACAUUGAUAGGUAAUGGUAUUUUUUUUAUUUAUUUAAUUCACUUCAGAUUUUGCAUCCAUAUUACAUUCAUUAAUAUUUCGUAUAGUAUACCAGAAUUAAAUAAAAAUAAUAACCACAAUCACGGAAUAAAACAAAACCAAUGAUAAUAAUAAUAAUAAACAAAAAAAUCAAAUAAUAAUAAUAAUAAAACAAAAACUCAAAAUUAACAUCAAAACUACCUUAACCUAAAGGCUGGUUUGGAUCCAGAGUGCUCAUCACGUAAUGAGUACAUGUUAUUAUGUAGUUCAUAUAAGUGUAUGAUGAGAAUUCAUAUUAUAAAUACCUUAACCAUAGAGGACUUGUGAAAUAUCGAUAUUAAAAUAUUUGUGCGGCGCAUACUUCGAGCUACUAGUCGGCAUCGCUGGCGGGGAAGCCCGGCACAUUAUUGGCCAUGCGAGGAGCUGCGGCCAGAGUAACUCGGUCACAAAGAAAAGAGUUCGCGCGACUCUUGCGACCUUUGCUCUACGUUGCCGUAAACUGAUGAAGAAGUUCUGCUGGGGAUGACACUAUUUGACACAAAUGUUAGAAUAGGCUCGCUCUUGGGUUGUGUCUGGUUGUAGUGUUGACCGCAGGAAACCCCCUACUCUGACCGGGUUUUGACCCCGGACGGAGAUCGGACGUCGGGUGUAAGAGUGCAGGGGAGUCGUUUAGUGGGUGGACCCGCGGUUUGCUCUCAACACCUGCAGAUCGUUGAGUCCCACAUACGCCGCGCGCCCCCUAGGCGCGGUGACGUCGUAGGAGUUCGGUCCCCGGCCUGGAAAAAAGAAAAAGAAAAAAGGCUCGCUCUUGGGUUGGGCAUGUGAUACCACACCAACAUGAAGUGAUCAAUCGGAGAGCAGCUGAGUCUAGCCCAGAGAGCGGACCCUUGUUACCCGGGCUUCCUGUCAUCAGCUCUAGUGCCUAAUGGUACUACCUACUGGCAGCGUCUCUCGAAAGUGUCCGUUGGAAAGUGCAGUGUCGCCUCCGGUCGUCCGCCUAUCGCAUAUCGCCUAACCUCUUAUAACCUCUUAUAACGUGCUCAGUAAGGCUCCCACUGGUUUGCGGCGCGCCGUCGUCUAUGUCGUGUAUGCGGAAAAUAUGAAAUGUACAGACGCGACUUCGCCACAGUUCUAUUGUAUAUAUUUAGAUUUGAAACAGAGACACCGAGUGAGAGUAUGCCGGAAUAUUAAAUACUGGCGUUGGAAAAAGCGACGAGCGGAUUGCCUACCAAGUAGCCAUCAGUACGCCGUAACCGGAGAGUAUAACUUGCCCUCAUUGAUUGAAUUAUCUAUGUAAUUGCGUCAUAUGAUUCACAAAUAAAAUUAGUCAUAGCACACACAAGAAACAUACUAAACCACUGAAAUAUAUGUGGGGGAACAACCAAUAAGGAAUAAACAAUUUUAACAUAGUAAUGAACAAUCUAAUAAAUAAAUUAAUAAGUCAUGAAAAAAGUGGGUUUAUCGAUUCAAGUUCAAUAAUAAAUACACAGAGUCCAUUUUAACGUCUGCAGAGGACCUGGCAAUAUUUAUAAUUAUGUAACCCAAAACAAAGUCAGGAACUAUUAAAUGAUUGCGGCAAGCAGCGGCUUGGCUCUGCUCCUGGCAUUGCUGAAGUCCAUGGGCGACGGUAACCACUCACCAUCAGGUGGGCCGUAUGCUCGUCUGCCUAAAAGGGCAAUAAAAAAAAUUAAGGGGAUGGACUGAUGGCAUAGACUGAUGAAACGUGACAAAACAUGUUUUUUAAACAUAAUGUAGACGGGACACCUAAUAUAGUUACACCUUAAAAUCCGGGGCUUAUGAUUUGAGUUCAAUGCGUUACCAGUCGCUGAAACAGUACCAUUUAUUGGUAGGAUAAUUGAUUACAAAAGACAUGCACCAUCGUUAGAAAUAGUUGUCUAUGACUUUAUUAAUUACCUAAACAAGGUAAACCAACAAACAAUUAGAGCAGCAUUUAAUUUUUUUUAUUUAUGGUAAUUAUUUAGUUUUAAAAUGGCGUAUCUUUGUAUAUACCAGACCGGACAUAUUCAUUGUUUCUAGGAUAGUAGGAACCAAAUGUAUCGCACUAGUAGAGCUGACUGUGCCAAGGGAAACAAACAUAUAAUAAUUUAUAAACGGGUUAACCACAAAUGGAUACGUGGCUUACAUGCUGUCGAAGUGGGAGCCGUAGGAUCGAAGUGGGCCCUUAAACCUACACCAAGGUUGCAACUUCACUGCCAUUCUUUUAUAAAUUCUUCUCUCUGCAACACGACGGACCCGGCAUCCGCUCAGUGAAUCCAUGGAUGACUAAGAAGUUCGUCUCCCCUCAGGUUUUCAUUAGUCCAGGCAUCAUACAAAGAACAUUUAUAUUUUCAUUUCUCGUUUGUUUUGUUCAUCUUAUAAUUUCCCAUAUUGAGUCAUUACGUUAGAGCUUUUUUUUUAAUUCGUACCUAAGCUGAUAGCCUUGAGAGGCUAUUUCAGCGAAACCUUAACUAGUAGGUGAGCUCACGGGGCUCAAACCUGACGACGUUGAUAACACGAACCCUAGCAAGAGUCGUGGUUCGCAGAAUCUACCACUGGAUCGGAAACGCUACCCACUCAGAAGAUCCGACAAGAAACUCAGUGAGCUGUGGCUCUGGGUUAAUUUACUCGUCGAGCCCUUCGUCGUUAGCGACGGGUUCGACGAAAACGAUGACCGGUGCUUGAGGUACCUAAAAGCACCGUUAGUGGAUCGGGAGGAUCCGAAAUGACGUGUUUUGGGCGACGUCGACUGCUUUCCAUUCUGUCCGCAGGAUCGGGAAUGUAGUUACCGGUGGCCAUGAUGAGAGGGUUUUCGUGUCGUGCCGCUUUGUCGAAGUGGCGUUAGACCUGAAACACGGAGUGUUAGUGACGACUGCCGAGCUCGGUGCGUGCGUUAUGUGUGACAGGACAAGGCGCGGAUCGAAGCCAUUAUUAGUUCUUACGUAAUCGAACCUUUAUACCAUUUUGUCAAUACUUGUACAAUACAGAUUUUUUAGUAUUCGUAUCGAAAUUAUCAAUUUUUUACCUCACUUUUUCCGAGUGGUCAAUUGCAGUGUGAUAUAAACCCUAAUUCUAUUCCGCCACGAAACAUCCUCAAUAUAAUAUCUGCAGAACUUCUCAAAUGACGUAGAUAUGUAUCUUCAUUCAGUUUAAAAUCGAAAUAAGACAAAAGUGAAGUAUGAAUUUCAUGAAGCGAAUAGUAAUGUGAUUGUCCCGACCGUUCUGACACACUUCCAGCGAAGGUUCCAACCCCGAAUACUGCGACGCCGACCCUGACAUCAUUUACAGCGGGGCAUUUUCCUCGGCAGCUUAUUAUAAACCGUAUAGGUAACAUAGUAUCGGACACACACUGCUGUGGAACACCCAUUUAUAAUUUCUUCCACAACAGACUGAUGCCAGGACGUGUUGAAAGCCAGAGAGAGAGAGCUGUUGCCUGCGCUCGACUCAUAGCUACCUUCUGUGCCAAGAAAACAUCCGUUUCAGUUUCGAGACUAUUUCAGCGCAGUUGAGAUGCACUUUGUUUUUAUGUUUGACGUAUAUCAGUGAAAGGGCUCUCCGCUCACCUGCUCUUGAAUGGUUACCGAACAUGACGAUGUAAAUGGUGCUACCCCUUGUACCUCGAGACUUGAGGCCGAAAUUUCAAUUAAAUUGUAUAACGUGACCGAAACACCGAUCCUCAGACACAGCCCACUGAGUUUCUCGCCGGAUCUUCUCAGUGAGUCGCGUUUCCGAACCGGUGGUAGAUUCUGCGAACACGACUCUUGCUAGGGUUCGUGUUAGCAACGUCGUCAAGUUUGAGCCCCGUGAGCUCACCUACUAGUAAAGGUUACGCUGAAAUAGCCUCUCAAAGCUCUCAGCUUAGGUAGGAAAAAAAGACAGAAACAGUAACCGUGCGAUGUCCCGUCUGUGAGUAGCGAGUGCAGGUCGGGUUGCGUCGUGCGCUGUGUAGCAUGUGGCAAGUGACAGCCCUAGCACGCCACGUGUUAGCUGCACCUUGCUAAUUAUAUGUCUCGGUGUCUGUGACAUUGUGCAUAUGGCAAGCAAGGUUUAACACGACAUUUGUAGUUUUCUUAAAACACUUCACUGAUUCUUUUUUUUAUUAGUAAAGUUUAUACAAAUACAAGUGUCACUUAGGUUUUGUUAUUAUUGGUAACCUAAAGGGCUAUUUCAACUACGUAAAGGUCCGCUUACGUGACCGCCCUCAACCCGAGAGAAUUGCUAACCCUGGCCCUAGCAAGAGCAGUGCUUCGCUGAAUCUACCACGGGAACGGAAUCUCGCCCUAUCCAGCUCCCAAAACGGACUGCGCUAGUCAUCUCAAUAUUCAAACAAACUUUAUAAAAUAUGACGUCAAAGUUAAUAUAAAACCAGGCUUCAUACUGUUCUGUGUUAAAAAUUUAGUUUUCGUAAAAGUCUGCAAUGGAAUAAAUUACCUUAUAGGCGCAUUUUAAAUUAAUAAGUAAUAACAGUAAUAUUAUUUUUCACAUCAUAUCACUGCAAUUUAUACACUUUGUAUUGUAUCUGACUAUCUAUCCGCGUACUUUCUUGGGUGAGUUAACAACCAGCCACGCCUUUAACGAUUACAAAUUCCUUUGAUGUGAGCCUGAGAUCACUUCGAACCAGUGACGCGGGAAUGAUGUGCAAAACGUUUAUGGUGGCGGAGACUAAUACAAUAUCUUCUACAUUAUUAUUAGUCACAAGAGGACUCUAAUUAAAUUGUGACGAAUUACUCGGGAAGAGGACUACAAUGCUAAGGACAACAACGUCAUCAAUAAAACACUUUCAAUCGACGAGUGUAAGGACCGUAAGCACGAGAACAAACCUGUUUCUAACACUAGUUAGCCCAGACGAUGUUGCAAACAAUCUAACCGAUGCCUGCAGAUCUGCGAAAUAUGUAAAAGGAUUUUAGUAUUUGACCCUCGACUGAGCUGCGCGCGAACAUCCGUCGAUGGGCGUCUCGUCUGUUACUUACAUCACUGUGUUUUUAUCUGAUUCUCGGUAUUUUAUGAUUGUACAUAAUACAGUCACAUAUUUUCCCGGUAACGUUAUAACUUAAACAUUAAAAUGAAAGUAUCGAGUGUCUAUUAAAGGUAUUUAUACUAAUGUAUGGUGUGCGGCCCUCCUGGUGUAGAGUGGCUACAUGAGGUCGAAAUCUCAAUUGUAGAAGGAUGUACAGACCGUGCAGUAACCUGUCAGCUGUACAGAAGUAAGCUGGAUGAUCCAGCCCCUUUGGCGGCCUUACAAAAUGGUCUAUUUAUUAACAGUGAGAGUACGUUGCUGACCAUUCUCCUGUGACACCCGCGGGAAGAGAGCGUUGUUACUUCUUGAGUAACGGCCCCACUAAGCUCAGUAAUAACACUAACGAACUCAAGCCGCUUGGGUUCCUGGACUGAGAAUAUUAUUACGCGCUGGGGUUUGGGAUAAAUAAAAUUCCACCGAAGUAUAAAUUAAAACUGUAUUUAUCACUUAGAACACACACAGAGCACAUUAAAAUCCUCGAUUCGCUUUUUCCGCUUCGCUUGAGGUGCUCCGUUCGCUGUUUCGUUUCGAGUAGUUCCGAUUACUAACUGCGUGCCAUAUCUACAACGCUUUUAUAGUCGAUACGACAUCCCGAGAAUUAUCGAGAACAUUCCUCACAAGUCGAGUAUUUUCGAUGUGUGUUUCCGCUAUCUAACAAUAGCUGGCGUUGUACUUCUUGAGCAUUCUAGGUGUUACUAGAUCCUUUGAUAUUCGUUUCGGCUAUUCAGCGAUAGAUGGCGUUACUCAUACCGACGUAACAGUAUGUACUACGAUGAACUCUACGGCACUUUACUAAUUUAGAUGUACUAAUGAAUCUUGGAUGCCGGAACGGUCCACGAAACUAGGGUGAUCGAUUUGGUUUCUAAAAGCCCACAAGAGGUAUACAGUACUGAACAUAUGAGGAACAUAAGACACGGUACUGAACAUAAGACAUACGAUAGGCUUUCUAAAACGAUUCUACACACAAGACAAUUAGACUUAGCUUAGCUUAGGAUACUAAAAGGCCGCAGAGCAUCAUGCAAAAUGAAUUUGGCUGAUGACCUUACAAGAAUGGAUAUGGCACCAAACGCCUGUCUUAGAAUUAGAUUAGAUUAUAUUCCAACAAUUGUCACGAGAUUAAUGCGAGAAGGUUUUGGAGAAAAGCAUUAGUUUUUUAGGAGCGUAAUACAAAAUAACACGGGAUUACGUCUCUUCUGUCCACCUGGGAAAGUCGCACAGAGUGCCCACUCACACAGUGUUCUAACAGAAGUGUGCCUGUUCAUAAGAACAUAAUCACGUCAUUACGUUUAGUAGAUACCCUAAGCUACGGCUGGUAUCAGUGCCAAGUUCCUUAACACGGCUUGCGAUACAGAUGACGAUUUUCCUUUUUUCUUUGAAUUUACUGUCCAGACACCGGGAGAAGAACUCGGUCGUAAGCAGCCUCUAUGUGGGGACCCGCUAGUCAUCCGCAGGGCUGUCGCGAUCACCGCCGUCUUCGGAGCCGUAUGCGCUUUGGCCGGAACGAGGCCUUGAGUUUCUGGGGCGGAGGCGCUCGUUGCUCUUUGUUUGUAGGUUUGUUUGUUAGAGCACCAAACAACAACCAGCUUAGUAAAAAUUUGUUUUUAUGAAACUAUUACUGUAACAAAUCAAAUUGGAAAUUUUGGUAGUUAUUAAACCGCGGAAUCUGGACCUGGAACACGAUUUGUUCUCGUUUUAACUUUAACAUCUUCGUAUCAAGACGGGCGACGCCGUGACGCACCUCUAGUCACUGAUGUAGUUCAAUUAUUCUUGGUAGUGAUCAGCCAACUGACUGACCUACAUAUUCUACCCUUUUGUUUUUAAUCAUAACCGCAGUAUAAAUUCUAAUAAUAAACUAAAAUGCUCACAAGAUAAUCGCAUAAGGUACAUCGUCUUUAUGAUUUGUGGACUUUAUUAAAAUAUUUUCUACUGAAAUUGCACACGCGGUACGUUUGUUCGCGCACCGGGAAGACAUUAUUUCGAGUACGAAUUAGGGCACAUUGUAAGAAUUGACAACAUCUCCGAAGCCAGUGAGGUCAAAUUAAUUUGGGAGCGGCCGGCGCUCUGAGCAUCUCUGACAUUUAUUAAAAUUAUUUUGGGGAUGUCUGCAUUCUCAAAACAGAACCUUGAAUAUUUAAUGAAACAGAUUGUAUCGUAUGCUAGCUUGCUGCCUGCAGUUUCGUCCGCUUGGACCACACUCUAUAGCGCCUGGGCCGGAGUCCCGUGCUCGGGAGCGGAAUGAAAACCAGCCUUUUUUUUUAUUGCUUUGAUGUUUGGAUGAUCUCAUAGCCCACCCGGAGUUAAGUGGUUACUGGAGCCCAUAGACAUCCACAACGCAAAUGCGCCACCCACCUCGAAAUAUAAGUUCUAAGGUCUCAGUAUAAUUACAACGGCUACCCCACCCUUGGAACCGAAACGCAUUACUGCUUUACGGCGGAAAUAGGCGGGGGGUGGUACCUAGCCGUGCGGACUCCCAAGAGGUCCUACCACCAGUGAUUACGCAAAUUAUAAUUUUCCGGGUUUGAUUUUUAUUACACGAUGUUAUUCCUUCACCGUGGAAGUUAAUCGUCAACAUUCGUUGAGUACGUAUUUCAUUACAAAAAUUGGUACCCGCCUGCGGGAUUCGAACACCGGUGCAUCGCUACAUACGAAUGCUCCGGACGUCUUAUCCUUUAGGCCACGAAGACUUCAAAUGGUGAUGAUGAUUGGUGCAGGUCAGCAAUACCGAUGGCACAACCAAGCCACUGCCUACUUCUGGGUGCUUUCCGAAAGCCUCGUUUGAAGAAAGACAUCUCGUAGCGUUUAGAAAACGGCAUUGUCUCAAUAAACCGGGUACGAUGCGAAGAUUUUGUCUCCCUAAAAGAAAAGUUACCGUAAUAGAAAUUCCGCGUUUCUUUACCUGAAUACACUUAAAAUGUAUCACUUAGUGCUCGUGUUUACAUUUUUAGGACUGACUUAAGCAGACUAUAUAUAUAACUUCUAACUUCUAACUAUAUAUAACUUCUAACUAUGCUAGAGUUUAUUAAAAAUAUUGUUCCCAAAAGAAACUCUAGUCAGGAGGACGAUUCAUCACAGAGGCUGACACAACUGGUUCAGAGUGGCCGUCCUUCACAAUACUUCAAUUGUUUGGUCAACCGGCCACACCAACUCUAACGAUACGCGCUCGGAUUCAUGAGGCCGUCGGUUUUAGACUAGGUAAUGGUAAUAGUGUUCACGAGUGUUCACAUUUGGCAACAAGUUAUUAAUGUAGGUACCGGAAUUUGAUAAUAACACGAGUGUCGUUUUUAUAAUCUAACAACAAAAUUACGCAUUUGGAUUAUCACAAUGGUUCUACCACCGCCCCGUGCACAGGCGACACAGAUAAACUUAUCUGUUUGUGACCUACAUACAUUACACUGUUUGUUGUGAGACAACAUUUGUUUGGUGGAGACUCCUUCGUGUGCGGAUGCAUGAUGCGGACAUGCUCUGAGUAACCGUGUAGGAGCACUGUGGGAGUGAUCCGACCAAUGAGUUUUACAAAACUUGACUUAGGUGUGAAGGGAUUGCACGGGUAAGAUGCCUUCACAAAUAUCUUUGGAAGACUGGUGACGUGUACGCAACCUAACUUGGCGCUCGUGUUAUAGGAACAUGGGAUCCGCCAUACGGUUCCCACUCAUCAAGUACGUAGUACAUAGUUUUUACAAAUCUUUUUUGAAUAAUCUGCAAUUUGAUCCAUGUCCAAGACCAAACAGAUGUGUGUGCUGAUUUUUACGAAAUAACAAAAAAAAAAACUUUGGUUCUUUAUUGUAUAACUAACGUAGAGCAGAGUAUUUUUUUUUUUGCAGACUAAAACGUAAAGCUCAUUUUAAUUAAGUUGACUGUUGUAGUGAUAUCAGUCGAGCUCUUUGUGCGAUAGUGUUUGUCGUUUAAUAUGUCCUAACAAUUAUUUUUGUGUAAUUAGAGUUACAAAAACAAGGAGUGGUCACUCCUUUUGUCUGCGGAUUGAAGUUGACGUUCAUUUCUAAGAAAGUGAACUAGAGACGUGCUGUUGAGUAAUCUGAACCCGCACGAUCACAGUCUGGAUAUAUUAUUUAUCAGUUAUCAGUAGCGGUUGAGGAGUCAUCGGGUCGCGCCCGGUGACGUCACUGCACAAACGUCUCGUCCACGGUGCUCGGUGCUUCUGCGCUUUGAUCAAGGAAAUCCGAAGAAUUUUAGAAUUCUCUCAUAAUUUUUUCCCUUAUAUGGUGCAAAACCAUAUUCUGUUACACUGAAUACCAUGUCUCAUCAUCAAUAUUAACUAAAAUGUUUGUAGACGUCAACUUGUGUUUAUCGGCUCCGGGAACAGCUUAACAUCGGAUGCGUUUAAAGCUAAUUUGUUCGUCCUAGUGCUAUAAUAGAUUCACCGAUUCACAGAUUCACCGUUCAACUGAUCACGCACAUUGUAUUGUGUGCGUGGCAAGCCAGAACCGCAGCAGGGUACCACACAUAACGAAGUGGCUGCCUUUUUUUUUCCUACCUUAGCUGAAAGCCUUGAGAGGCUAUUUAAGCGUAACCUUAACUAGUACCAUAACACACGGGGCUCAAACCUGACGACGUUGCUAACACGAACCCUAGCAAGAGCCGUGCUUCGCAGAAUCUACCACCGGAUCGGAAACGCGACCCACUGAGAAGGUCCGGCAAGAAACUCAGUGGGCUGUGUAUGUGGGAGUGGCCGCCGCUGGGCUCGCAGCGUACCACCGCACCUGACCGGCAUCGCUUAUUCGUAAUGAAUCAAAAGACGGUGACACCUGAUACUCGUUCGGACAUAGAACUGUGCGGUUUACCUCGUCCCCGUGACUGUACCUACUGUUCCUUGGAAUUGGAAACUGUAAACAAGUCGUGCUCGAGAAAAUAUAUAAUACUCAAUGAAAAAUAAGAGUGUUCGUUGUAGGUGCGCCGUACCGGAGAUCAAUCGAAGAAGUUGUCGUGGAGUGGCUCGGGUGGAUUAAAUCCGUUAGUCUGACGGUUCCGAGACGUCAUUACGUGAAUCACUAUUUUAUGUUCCAGAUGGAAUAUGCAUAUCAUAAACACCUUGAGGUGAGCGAGAUACGGUUGCAAUGAACACUUCGGACUCGGAAGGUUCGAUUUUCUAUCAGGAGGCGAGUGAGGUCUGUUGUAAGCUUAUAAAGUUGGUACCGUCGCGUCGUCUUGCGUAUUCGUACCGGAAAUAAAUCUUUCCUAUAAUUCAAAGCGAAUAUUGCAGUCUAGUCGAUGCGGCAACCUCAAAAUGCGCCUCUUGUUUCCUUAAGAAUGCAGCAUUGGUUCCAAUAGUUCCACAUGCAUAGCUCGUGCCGCACACUACAUCAACCCCGUGCCGAACUGGAGUGAGUAGCAACGUGGAUCUCCUCGCCGAGAGCGCUGUGUAGGCUGUAUAGUGUACGCAGCACGGUGUAUACAAGCGUCGAGGUGAUCGGCCGUCUGUCUCUAGCAGCACCCUCGCAGCGGUCUGACUAUCUGUCGUGACAAGACAUGACGAGAGCCACCGCGACACCGGCAACAUACUGUAUUCAUGUAGUCAUUACUAUAUACAUUUAAGAGUCAUUUCCUAAACACAGAAUAACCUGUGCAGUCUGUGAUCGGGCCUCGACCAUGACCCGGUUCCAACGCGGGUAAAACUUGUAUAAUGACACGUACAUAAUGCGUUUUAUCGGUGAGAAAAUAUUCAAGUUCACUUCUAAUUUUAGCAUCAAAAUAAACAAGGAAGUAUUGAUAGAUUGAAAAAACGUAUGAAUAGUGACGUCACCCGCGCUAACCGCACGACCGCUCUAGGUCAGCGCUUCCCAACCUGCGCGGCUACGGUACCACGCGUACCUCCAGGGGACACGGGGUCUCACUGGGGGUACGUGAAAAUUUAUUGUAUACUUUUUUGUUCUAUUUUUACUUUAUUUCAUUUUCUUAAUUUCAGUAAGGAUAAUAACAAUUAAUAAUAUAAGGAUAACAAUAUGAGAGAGAGAGAGAGAGAUAGUAUUCUUUAUUGUACACCAAAAAAACAAAUAAACAGUGCGAUACAUUAAAAACAAAAAAGUACAAUUGGCGGUCUUAUCGCUAAGAGCGAUCUCUUCCAGACAAACAUCAGGUGGACAAGAAUAAUUUGGAAACGAACUACGCGCGGUGUACCAUUCCAGUGAAAUACAUAUGUUUUUGAGAUUGGUAUUAUAUUGUAGUUACAGGGUUUUACGUGAAUUUUGACAAAAAUUAUCUGAUAUUUGAUUAAUUAUAUUUAAAAUAAUAUUAUGUUUAAGCUUUAAAGUUCUAAAGUUAAUAAUUAACGACUGGUUUUUAGUGUAUCAGAUCAAAAUCAAAUAUAUUUUAUGGAAAACCCUACAACUUAACUGUUGUAGGAAUAUCCUUAAAAAUAAUAAAUAAACAGAUGAUAGAUAGAUAUAAACAUUGACAAAAAUAUGUAUAAUAACAUUUCGUUAUUGGACAUAAAAGACAACUCUGUACAAAAAUACAAAAACAACGAGAGUCUAGAGUCAAGGCGUAUAUUUCAAAGCUAAGAUCGACAAUAGAUUAAGAGAAAGGAAAUAUUUUUAGAAGAUAUUAGACGUUAAAGUUAUUAGACGACGAUAUUCAUAAAUGAAAAGUUUUAUUAAGGAUACGGGGCCAAAAAAGGUUGAGAGCCACUGUUCUUGGCUACAGCUGAAGGACAAGCAAGACGUAGCGACGAACUCAAUAACAAAACUGAUUCGAAUAGUGAGACGGAUUUAACUUAGUUGCACUAAAGUUUCGUCACUAAGUGCUGCUAUUGUCGGCGACCUCAUAUUUAUAAUUCAGUUUAUGUUUAGGUUUAUAUUUAGGUAGAGACUAAUCGAGAUCCGAAUGUGGCUGAAACUUUAGACAAGUAUUCUGGUCACGAAACAAGUUUACAGGUGGCGGCAGGGCGGGCUCGCUCGACAGGCGCCGCGGCGUCUCAUGUUAUGACCUGCUAGUUUGUGAACUCUUUGACUAUUGUAUGCUACCAAAUCUUUAGUUUGUACAGCUUUGAAUAAAUUGAAUAUUUCCUAAAUGUUAAUAGAAACUUACUGACUAGUUUAGUAUUUCUUCACUUUAGUAUUUGUACUUCUGCGUUUUGAUAAAGAGGCGGGUCCUCGACAGCAUAAAUAAAAAACUUGCAUUUCUCGAACAGUUACUAUACUGUUACUAUACUUGAGACCUUAGAAAUUGUAUCUCAAGGUGGGUGGCGCAUUUACGUUGUGGAUGUCUAUGGGCUCCAGUAACCACUUAACACCAGGUGGGCUGUGAGCUCGUUCACCCAUCUAAUUUAAUUGACACAACACAACAUUACGAUAAUGAGGUAAGUCACACUUCGGAAUAAAAUAUAUGUCUUUUCUAAACUACAUGGAACUGCCGCUCAGGCAUCCCUGGCGAGGUCAUAUAAGUGAACUAUUACUAACAACAUUUUUUUCUCUUCAAAAAGUUAUCUCAAUAAACUGCCUACCCUGAUCGUCUGAUAGCGUGGAGCUUGUAAGGCCAGAGACUGACCCGCGAGUGUAGAUACUAUAUUAUAAGCCCCUUAUUAUCGUCGUCGAUAAACUGGAGUCGAGAGGGUAUAACCGUGUUGUGCGUUGUGUUUUGCGAUAUCGAUAUAACGAUAUUGAUUGUGUGCUGAUGUGGAUGAUGACAUCGUUAUCUCGUUGCGCGCGUGGGGUAUUCACGGACUCACAAUGCGUGCGCUGUGCCCGCGUCGACUCGAAGAGACCGCUCAAUGCCGCUGUUGUGGUUGGUGGCGCCAGCGGGCAGGUCAACUCGCGGACCGCGGAGUCCGACACGUCACAACGAGAGCGCUGUCCUCCUGCCGAAAGACCUCCCGGGGUAUCAUUCUAUACCCGUCAGACACAUUCUAUACGAUUUUUUAUAAGAAGUUUGUUAUUAAUAAUAACUAAUAUUAUGAAGCUGAAGAGUUUGUUUGUUUGAACGCGCUAAUCUCAGGAACUCUGGUCCGAUUUGAAAAAUUCUUUCAGUGUUAGAUAGCCCAUUUAUCGAGGAAGGCUAUAGGCGGAUCACCAAUAAAUAUUGUUUCAAAAUCGGGGUUUUUUCCCUUUUGAGAGUUUCCGUUGCGUGCGCUGCAGAAACGGUUAAAGUUUCGUUAAAAUAAUGUAUGACAGAAUUGUUUCCCUUUAAAAUACCUUAAAAAGUUCGAGACAGCAUAUGUCAAUAUGUUAAGGUUGGCUCACUACAACGUUUUUUAUGCCAACCAAAUUUGUUCUAAAAUAAACCAUUAUUUGUGAACUAUUCCACGCGGACGAAGUCGCGGACAAAAACUAGUUAAUAAUAUGAGCAAGGGUUCAAAAUCAACGUCUUUAUCGUAUUCACCCGAUGAGGUGGUGGAAUAUCAAUGGAAGCCUCCAAUGUGGUCAUAUUUUUCUUUAAAAUAAUGCCGAAGGAACAUUAAUAUCUGCUUAGUGUAGUUUGUUUGUACAUGCUGUAUGUACCUUUUGCAUGCUGUUUAUUGGUUAUGUGUGUGGAAGUAUAUUAGUAUGUAAAUCAUAUAGUGACUUCAUACUAUAGUUCUAUUAUUCUAUUUAAUAUUUUAUUAUAUAUCAUUUUUAUUAUAUAAUAUGUAGUUUUCUUCAUUAUUUCAUAAGGUGCGUAAUGGCUUAUAGGUUAAGGUAAUCAUAUAUUUAAAGGCAUAUUUAGAUAGAGCACACUAUCGUUAACAACGGUACAACGCAACGUACCUGCUGUAUCUUUUGCAGAAUUUCUGUAGAUAAAACUAUUGUCUUAAAGAUGCUUUUAGAGAUAAGACCACCUAUUGUAAUUUAUUUAUUUAUUUUUUAUUUGCUUACUAUUACGCCACCUUACCUGGUCCCGUGCUAAGUUCGUAAAGAACUUGUGUUACAGGUACCAAAUAACGGAAAUAAAUGUAAGAUUUUUAUUAAACACAUACAUUUAUUUAAUAUACAUCCAUAACCCUGGAAAAUACGUUUUAUAUUUAUCCUACAAAUAUCUUCUCUUGGCGGGAUUCGAACCCACGACCCCCUUGUGUAGUGACCAUGUCACUUACCACUAUACCAGACGGCCGUUAAAUAUACAAUUAUACCUGUCUGUUGACUGUCUUCAAUGUUAAUCGUAUAGUGUGCAAUAGUGUGUAUUCUCUCUCUCUUUCUCACGUUAAAGGCGAGGAAACUGCCGAUACUCAAUUAACCGCUAAAUUAGUAACAGCUUUCAGCGUUACAUUGUCACUUGCGAGGAAAAAUUGAUUCUUUUUAACAACGUAAGCGGUCAGCAUGUUGGUUAGACCCUGUUUGAGCACCAGAUAAUGUCCCAAACGAAAACUUACCUGUAAAAGGUCAUGGUCACUGUUUGGUGGUCUAGUGCCUGUAUAAUUCAUCACAGCUUCUUGCCAAAUGGCACCAGCAUUACUGCCGAUGUAUGCUGUGAGGAACUGGACAUAAUAACGGAGAAGCUCGCGAAUUUUCGGUCAGUCUUGGUUAGUCGCUCGUCCACGCUGCUCCUACACGACAACGCUCGACCUCGUGCGAGACAACAGACGGUCGCUAAGCUGCAAGAGCUAGGGUUGGAAGUUAUGUGUCAUCUACUGUACUCACUAGACCUUUCGCCGACAGGCUAGUGUUCAGUGGUUACCGCACCAAGUGGACAUCAUAACGUGCAGGUCGCCACUCACUCUCAGACAUGAGGUUCAGGCUCAAUUGUACUGUAUGUCGACCAAAUCGGAACCUAUGGCUGGUUCGCGGUAGAAA